GAUGAACGCUGGCGGCGUGCCUAAUACAUGCAAGUCGAGCGAACGGACGAGAAGCUUGCUUCUCUGAUGUUAGCGGCGGACGGGUGAGUAACACGUGGAUAACCUACCUAUAAGACUGGGAUAACUUCGGGAAACCGGAGCUAAUACCGGAUAAUAUUUUGAACCGCAUGGUUCAAAAGUGAAAGACGGUCUUGCUGUCACUUAUAGAUGGAUCCGCGCUGCAUUAGCUAGUUGGUAAGGUAACGGCUUACCAAGGCAACGAUGCAUAGCCGACCUGAGAGGGUGAUCGGCCACACUGGAAGUGGAACACGGUCCAGGCUCCUACGGGAGGCAGCAGUAGGGAAUCUUCCGCAGUAGGCGAGAGCCUGACGGAGCAACGCCACGUGAGUGAUAAAGGUCUUCGGAUCGUAAAACUCUGUUAUUAGGGAAAAACAUAUGUGUAAGUAACUGUGCACAUCGUGACGGUACCUAAUCAGAAAGCCACGGCUAACUACGUG
rnacentral:rRNA from 1 species